AGCAAUGCCGCACUGAUAUGGAUAUGGAUCCGAAGCUUCUUAAAGAAUAACAUAGCCACUCCAUACCCUUCCCCAACGCAAUACGUCCAUGACGUACAAUAUGGUAACAUAUCUUUCCAAAUAUCUGAGCUUGGGUAUACGGGGAAACCUAACCCCCUGGGAAGAUGGGUUACAUGGGUAAAUUGAGCGGA
rnacentral:ribozyme from 1 species